GCAACGCCGCGUGGAGGAUGAAGGUCCUUGGAUUGUAAACUCCUGUCAGCGGGGAAAAAGCGACCUGGCCUAAGUACGCCGGGGGAGUUGAUUGUACCCGCAGAGGAAGCCCCGGCUAACUCUGUGCCAGCAGCCGCGGUAAUACAGAGGGGGCAAGCGUUAUCGGAAUUAUUGGGCGUAAAGGGCGCGUAGGCGGCCUUUCAAGUGACGGGUGAAAUCCCUCGGGCUUAACCGAGGAACUGCCUGUCAGACUGGAAGGCUUGAGACCGGGAGAGGUGAGUGGAAUUCCCAGUGUAGCGGUGAAAUGCGUAGAUAUUGGGAGGAACACCAGUGGCGAAGGCGGCUCACUGGACCGGUACUGACGCUGAGGCGCGAAAGCGUGGGGAGCAAACAGGAUUAGAUACCCUGGUAGUCCACGCCGUAAACGAUGAGUGCUUGGUGUAGCGGGUAUCGACCCCUGCUGUGCCGAAGUCAACACAUUAAGCACCCCGCCUGGGGAGUACGGUCGCAAGACUG
rnacentral:rRNA from 1 species